CCUACGGGUGGCAGCAGUGAGGAAUAUUGGUCAAUGGCCGGAAGGCUGAACCAGCCAAGCCGCGUGAGGGAUGAAGGUGCCAAGCGUUGUAAACUUCUUUUGUCAGGGGACAAAAUCAGGCUCGAGACCCUGACCGAGGGUACCCGGAGAAAAAGCAUCGGCUAACUCCGUGCCAGCAGCCGCGGUAAUACGGAGGAUGCGAGCGUUAUCCGGAUUUAUUGGGUUUAAAGGGAGCGUAGAUGGGUUGUUAAGCCGGAUGUGAAAGUUCGCGGCUCAACCGUAGCAGUGCCAUUGAUACGGGGGGCCUUGAGUGCGGCGGAGGUAGGCGGAAUUCGUGGUGUAGCGGUGAAAUGCUUAGAUAUCACGAAGAACCCCGAUUGCGAAGGCAGCGUGC
rnacentral:rRNA from 1 species